AAACAUAACCUUUAGCCAAACAAAUAUUAAAGGCAACGCCUGCCCAGUGAACAAUUAAACGGCCGCGGUACCCUAACCGUGCAAAGGUAGCAUAAUCAUUUGUCUACUAAUUAUAGACCUGUAUGAAAGGCAAAAUGAGGGCCAAACUGUCUCUUAUAAUAAGUCAAUUAAACUGAUCUCCUAGUAAAAAAGCUAGAAUUAAAACACAAGACCAGAAGACCCUGUGAAGCUUAAAACAAACUAUUAAAUCAAAUAAUAGCUACUUUCGGUUGGGGCGACCUUGGAAAAAAAAAGAACUUCCAAAGUAUAUCCACGUGGUAGGGAAUAUGCCAGGCCAACAAGCCACUAAAUGACCCAGCAAAGCUGAUAAAAGAACAAAGUUACUCCAGGGAUAACAGCGCAAUCUUCUUUAAGAGCCCAUAUCAAAAAGAAGGUUUACGACCUCGAUGUUGGAUCAGGACAUCCUAAUGGUGCAGCCGCUAUUAAGGGCUCGUUUGUUCAACGAUUAAUAGUCCCACGUGAUCU
rnacentral:rRNA from 1 species